AAGCAUAUCAAUAAGCGGAGGAAAAGAAACCAACAGGGAUUGCCCUAGUAACGGCGAGUGAAGCGGCAACAGCUCAAAUUUGAAAUCUGGCCCUAGCGGUCCGAGUUGUAAUUUGUAGAGGAUGCUUUUGGUGAGGUGCCUUCCGAGUUCCCUGGAACGGGACGCCGGAGAGGGUGAGAGCCCCGUACGGUUGGACGCCAAACCUCUGUAUAGCUCCUUCGACGAGUCGAGUAGUUUGGGAAUGCUGCUCUAAAUGGGAGGUAAAUUUCUUCUAAAGCUAAAUACCGGCCAGAGACCGAUAGCGCACAAGUAGAGUGAUCGAAAGAUGAAAAGCACUUUGAAAAGAGGGUUAAAUAGCACGUGAAAUUGUUGAAAGGGAAGCGUUUGCGACCAGACCUUUUCCAGGCGGAUCAUCCGGCGUUCUCGCCGGUGCACUCCGCCUGGUUGAGGCCAGCAUCGGUUUCCUUAGGGGGAUAAAGGCCUGGGGAACGUAGCUCCUUCGGGAGUGUUAUAGCCCCUGGCGCAAUACCCCUCGGGGGACCGAGGACCGCGCUUCGGCAAGGAUGCUGGCGUAAUGGUCGUCAACGACCCGUCUUGAAACACGGACCAAGGAGUCGAACAUUUGUGCGAGUGUUUGGGUGUCAAACCCUCACGCGUAAUGAAAGUGAACGGAGGUGAGAGCCCUUACGGGUGCAUCAUCGACCGAUCCUGAUGUCUUCGGAUGGAUUUGAGUAAGAGCAUAACUGUUCGGACCCGAAAGAUGGUGAACUAUGCGUGGAUAGGGUGAAGCCAGAGGAAACUCUGGUGGAGGCUCGCAGCGGUUCUGACGUGCAAAUCGAUCGUCAAAUCUGCGCAUGGGGGCGAAAGACUUAUCGAACCAUCUAGUAGCUGGUUACCGCCGAGU
rnacentral:rRNA from 1 species